AGGCCGGAUGUGUAAGCGCAGCGAUGCGUUGAGCUAACCGGUACUAAUGAACCGUGAGGCUUAACCUUACAACGCCGAAGGUGUUU
rnacentral:rRNA from 1 species